GUGGGGAAUCUUGCGCAAUGGGCGAAAGCCUGACGCAGCCAUGCCGCGUGAAUGAUGAAGGUCUUAGGAUUGUAAAAUUCUUUCACCGGGGACGUUAAUGACGGUACCCGGAGAAGAAGCUCCGGCUAACUUCGUGCCAGCAGCCGCGGUAAUACGAAGGGGGCUAGCGUUGCUCGGAAUUACUGGGCGGAAAGGGCGCGUAGGCGGACAGCUUAGUCAGAGGUGAAAGCCUAGGGCGCAACCUUGGAAUUGCCUUUGAUACUGGCUGUCUUGAGUUUGGGAGAGGUGAGUGGAACUCCGAGUGUAGAGGUGAAAUUCGUAGAUAUUCGGAAGAACACCAGUGGCGAAGGCGACUCACUGGCCCAAUACUGACGCUGAGGCGCGAAAGCGUGGGGAGCAAACAGGAUUAGAUACCCCAGUAGUCC
rnacentral:rRNA from 1 species